ACCUCUACUUCAUCACUUUCCCCUUUGCACUGGAGCCCCUCUAGGGCAUGUCUUAAAUGUCAUUCAGAAAUUAAGAGCACCAGACCCGCUGGGUGAAAAGGAAGAAUAUUGAAGAAAGAAAAAAAUAAUGUGAAAAAAAGUCAACCCUUCUUAGAAACACAAAAAGUAAUUUGCCACUUAAUUGUUAUCCU
rnacentral:lncRNA from 1 species